rnacentral:rRNA from 2 species
GGCGUUAAGUUGCAGGGUAUAGACCCGAAACCCGGUGAUCUAGCCAUGGGCAGGUUGAAGGUUGGGUAACACUAACUGGAGGACCGAACCGACUAAUGUUGAAAAAUUAGCGGAUGACCUGUGGCUGGGGGUGAAAGGCCAAUCAAACCGGGAGAUAGCUGGUUCUCCCCGAAAGCUAUUUAGGUAGCGCCUCGUGAAUUCAUCUCCGGGGGUAGAGCACUGUUUCGGCUAGGGGGCCAUCCCGGCUUACCAACCCGAUGCAAACUGCGAAUACCGGAGAAUGUUAUCACGGGAGACACACGGCGGGUGCUAACGUCCGUCGUGAAGAGGGAAACAACCCAGACCGCCAGCUAAGGUCCCAAAGUCAUGGUUAAGUGGGAAACGAUGUGGGAAGGCCCAGACAGCCAGGAUGUUGGCUUAGAAGCAGCCAUCAUUUAAAGAAAGCGUAAUAGCUCACUGGUCGAGUCGGCCUGCGCGGAAGAUGUAACGGGGCUAAACCAUGCACCGAAGCUGCGGCAGCGACGCUUAUGCGUUGUUGGGUAGGGGAGCGUUCUGUAAGCCUGUGAAGGUGGCCUGUGAGGGUUGCUGGAGGUAUCAGAAGUGCGAAUGCUGACAUAAGUAACGAUAAAGCGGGUGAAAAGCCCGCUCGCCGGAAGACCAAGGGUUCCUGUCCAACGUUAAUCGGGGCAGGGUGAGUCGACCCCUAAGGCGAGGCCGAAAGGCGUAGUCGAUGGGAAACGGGUUAAUAUUCCCGUACUUGGUGUUACUGCGAAGGGGGGACGGAGAAGGCUAUGUUGGCCGGGCGACGGUUGUCCCGGUUUAAGCGUGUAGGUGUGUGUUCCAGGUAAAUCCGGUUCACUUUAACACUGAGGCGUGAUGACGAGGCACUACGGUGCUGAAGUAACAAAUGCCCUGCUUCCAGGAAAAGCCUCUAAGCAUCAGGUAACAUCAAAUCGUACCCCAAACCGACACAGGUGGUCAGGUAGAGAAUACCAAGGCGCUUGAGAGAACUCGGGUGAAGGAACUAGGCAAAAUGGUGCCGUAACUUCGGGAGAAGGCACGCUGACAC